UAAGACGAACCGUGCGAACGUUGUUCGGAAUCACUGGGCUUAAAGGGCGCGUAGGCGGAUUCUCAAGUCAGGGGUGAAAUCUUUCGGCUUAACCGGAAAACAGCCUUUGAUACUGAGAGUCUCGAGCGAGGUAGGGGCAGCUGGAACUUCCGGUGGAGCGGUGAAAUGCGUUGAUAUCGGAAGGAACGCCGGUGGCGAAAGCGAGCUGCUGGACCUCUUCUGACGCUGAGGCGCGAAAGCCAGGGGAGCAAACGGGAUUAGAUACCCCGGUAGUCCUGGCCCUAAACGAUGAAUACUAGGUAGCGGACUGGACAUGGGUUCGCUGCCGAAGCAAAAGUGCUAAGUAUUCCGCCUGGGGAGUAUGGUCGCAAGGCUG
rnacentral:rRNA from 1 species